GCCAGCUUGGCGCAGUGGUAACGUACGUCCACUCUGAAACCUCCACAUCUUGAACCCUCAUUCUAACGAAUCUUCAGGCGUCGCACUUGUAGCACAAAACGUCUAGACAUGCGAAGAUCGCUCGUUCGAUUCGGGCAGUUGGCA